rnacentral:tRNA from 1 species
ACACUAAGAAGCUAAUAUAGGAUAGCACUAGCCUUUUAAGCUAGAAAAGAGACUUCCCACCCUCCUUAGUGA